UCCCAUCAUUACUUCUUUCCUUCCUUUCUUAAUACCUGGAUAGAACCCAGGGCCUUGCACAUACUAAACAAGCUCUCUACCACUGAGCUACAUCCCAGCAUUUUUUUUUUUUUUUUUGAGAAAAGGUCUCACUAAGUUGCUCAGGUUGGCCCUGAGCUUGAAAUCCUCCUUCAUCAGCCUCCCAAGUAGCUGGGACUGCAGGUGUGUGUGCCACUGUGUCCAGCCAGGCCUGGCACAAAGUAACUUCCUCAUGACUCACUAUACAACUGAACAAGACACAACUCCACAGAGUUGCACUGAAGAGAACAGAAUUCAACCACCUUAGGAUGAAGUCCAGCCAGUCUCUCUUACAUGGCCCAAGAAGCCAGGGACAAAGCCCAGGCCACACUUUGACCAAGAAAGUGAGCGAAGGCUUUGGCACUGAUGAACAGACCCAGAGCCACUUCUCUGCUAAGCAAGAGCCUGCUGCCUUUCCACAUCACUACUCUAGACAAAUUGUUCCCUAUCACUCAUGCUUAACAUUAACACAAUCCUCCCAAUUUGAGCUCCAGUCCCAGACUCCUAGAAAUCUCUGAAUUAUUGAAUUUUAAGCCAGAUGGAAACCUCAGGGAUCUUCUUGUUUACCCAACAUCUGGAGAGCCAGGUUAGAAACUUUCCAGAAUCCUACUGUUCUUAUCUCUGACUACUGCAUUGAAUAACCACAGUCCUCUGAAGAAGUUCCCCACUCUACACUACUGUUCCAUCCAGUGAGAACACAAGAAGCCCAGUGAGUGACUCUCCUGACCCUUGGCCAAGUUCUCUGGGCUCAUCAAGAGAUGAACUUCAGCAUCUGAGGGAGCUGUUCAGGAAAAACAGGAAGUCCUCUUGGGGCUGGGCUGGGCUGGGCUGGGGACCAAGGGAGAAGAGACAAUGUCCAUUGUUCCCAUUUGUUUCUCCCUGCUUUGCACAUGUCACAGAGCUCUCUUAAUUAGGCUCCAUUACUUGCUCACAAGAUGUGAGCUAUCCUUCACAAACAACUGUGACUUCCUUCAGGGCCAAUCCCCAGGUUCACAACUCUCCUGUGGUCAUUCCAAUCCCUGCCCACAUCCCAUAGUGCUAGGUAAAUCUAGCCCCACAGUUGGAGCUUGUGUUAUUCAAUAAAGACAUGG